rnacentral:tRNA from 1 species
GAUAGCUCAGUCGGUAGCGCAUGAGAUUCUUAAUCUCAAGGCUGUGGGUUCAAGCCCCUCAUUGGGCGAACA